rnacentral:rRNA from 1 species
UGCAAGUCGAGCGCGGCCUUCGGGCCGAGCGGCGGACGGGUGAGUAACGCGUGGGAACGUGCCCUUCUGUAUGGAAUACCCUGUGGAAACGCGGGUUAAUGCCAUAUACGCCCUCAUGGGGAAAGAUUUAUCGCAGAAGGAUCGGCCCGCGUUGGAUUAGGCAGUUGGUGGGGUAACGGCUCACCAAGCCGACGAUCCAUAGCUGGUUUGAGAGGAUGAUCAGCCACACUGGGACUGAGACACGGCCCAAACUCCUACGGGAGGCAGCAGUGGGGAAUCUUGGACAAUGGGGGCAACCCUGAUCCAGCCAUGCCGCGUGAUCGAAGAAGGCCCUAGGGUUGUAAAGAUCUUUCGCCGGGGACGAUAAUGACGGUACCCGGAAAAGAAGCCCCGGCUAACUCCGUGCCAGCAGCCGCGGUAAUACGGAGGGGGCUAGCGUUGUUCGGAAUUACUGGGCGUAAAGCGCGCGUAGGCGGUUUGGCAAGUUAAAGGUGAAAUGUCGAGGCUCAACCUCGAAGCUGCCUUCAAUACUGCUAGACUAGGGACUGAAAGAGGACAAUGAAAUUCCCAGUGUAGAGGUGAAAUUCUUAUAUAUGGGGAAGAACACCAGUGGCGUAGGCUAUUGUCUGGUUCAGCACCGACGCUGA